UUCGGUGGUCAUAGCGUGAGGGAAACGCCCGGUUACAUUCCGAACCCGGAAGCUAAGCCUCACAGCGCCGAUGGUACUGCAGGGGGGACCCUGUGGG
rfam:Streptomyces rubellomurinus strain ATCC 31215 contig-364, whole genome shotgun sequence.